GGGCCCGCACAAGCGGUGGAGCAUGUGGUUUAAUUCGAAGAUACGCGCAGAACCUUACCAACACUUGACAUGUUCGUCGCGACUUUAAGAGAUUAAAGUUUUCGGUUCGGCCGGACGAAACACAGGUGCUGCAUGGCUGUCGUCAGCUCGUGUCGUGAGAUGUUGGGUUAAGUCCCGCAACGAGCGCAACCCUCACUUUUAGUUGCCAUCAUUAAGUUGGGCACUCUGAAAGAACUGCCAGUGAUAAGCUGGAGGAAGGUGGGGAUGACGUCAAGUCCUCAUGGCCCUUACGUGUUGGGCUACACACGUGCUACAAUGGUAUCUACAACAGGAAGCAAAACGGCGACGUUAAGCAAA
rnacentral:rRNA from 1 species